rnacentral:rRNA from 1 species
GACGAACCGUGCGAACGUUGUUCGGAUUCACUGGGCUUAAAGGGCGCGUAGGCGGCCGCACCAGUCUCGGGUGAAAGCCCCCAGCUCAACUGGGGAAGUGCCCGGGAUACUAGGCGGCUCGAGGGGGGCAGGGGCAUGCGGAACUUCCGGUGGAGCGGUGAAAUGCGUAGAUAUCGGAAGGAACGCCGGUGGCGAAAGCGGCGUGCUGGGCCCCUCCUGACGCUGAUGCGCGAAAGCCAGGGGAGCAAACGGG